rnacentral:lncRNA from 10 species
AGGGACCAGAGGUAAUUGUUUUCUUCUUUGGCAGAUCUGGACUUAAGGCAGGUAUCUACUGAGUGACUCAGAACCAAAGCCAGUAAAUCCUUUAUGAGGUAACAAAGGACAGAUAUGAGGCACCUCAAAGUGGCAUGAAGAGGAAGUCCUCACAAGAUCUGGAGCCAGCCCCUAAAGAGACUUCAAUAACAGAAAAGUAAAAAUGGUCCAUAAAAGGGAAAAAGAUCAAUAUCAAAUGCACUGUUCACAAUAACUAAGAUACGAAUCAACCUAAGUAUCCAUCAAUAGAUGAAUGGAUAGAAGAAAUGUGGUGUAAAAAAAAAAAAGAAAAUGUGGUGUAUAUGCACAAUGGACUAUUAUUCCCUCAUAAGAAGAAUAAAAUCUUGUCUUUGGCAACAACAUGGAUGUAACUGGAUGACAUUAUGUUGAGUGAAAUAAGCCAAGAAAAAAAAAAAGACAAAUGUCACAUGUUCUCACUCACAUAUGG